rnacentral:rRNA from 1 species
GAUGAACGCUAGCGGCAGGCCUAACACAUGCAAGUCAGGGGGUAACAUAGGAAAGCUUGCUUUUCUGAUGACGACCGGCGCACGGGUGCGUAACGCGUAUACAACCUACCUUUUAGCGGGGAAUAGCCCAGGGAAACUUGGAUUAAUGCCCCAUAGUAUAUAGACUUCUCCUGAAGUUUAUAUUAAACAUUUAUGGCUAUUAGAUGGGUAUGCGUCCUAUUAGUUAGUUGGUAAGGUAACGGCUUACCAAGGCAGCGAUAGGUAGGGGUCCUGAGAGGGAGAUCCCCACACUGGUACUGAGACACGGACCAGACUCCUACGGGAGGCAGCAGUGAGGAAUAUUGGACAAUGGGCGAGAGCCUGAUCCAGCCAUGCCGCGUGCAGGAAGACUGCCCUAUGGGUUGUAAACUGCUUUUUACAGAGGAAGAACCACCCCCACGUGUGGGGGGUUUGACGGUACUCUGCGAAUAAGGAUCGGCUAACUCCGUG